AGGCUGUGUGGCUAUGUAUAGCUGCUUUAAUCAUAAUAGCCCCAAACUGGAAAGAACCUAAAUGUCCAUCACCAGGCGAAUGGGCAAACAAAUUGCGGUGAAUUCAUAUCAUGAAACUACUCAGCAAUAAAAAGAAACAAUUCCCUGAGUACCUAACAGUGUGGACGAUCUAAAACCAUGCAGAAGAAAGAAGCCAAACAGAUAGAGUGAGUCCCCCUCUACGAAGACCAGGGGAAUGUACCUUUUGGUAAAAGCAGAAAACAAACAAAACGAUGAGACCAGAACUACGGCAACCAGCCCAAGCACCACUUCGAGCUCCAGGAAAGCUGUGUGAUGCUGAAUAGACUGCUCAACCUCUCUGAGGCUGGUGUUCUUAUCUUCAAACGGGGAUAAAAGAUCUACCAGUCUAGGCUAGAAGUCUGAAAUCAAGGCAUCGGGAGGCCAUGCUCCAAGACUCUGAGUGGAACCCUCUUUGCCUUUUCCUGACUUCUGGUGGUGCCGGCGGCCCUUGAUGUUCUUGGCUCUUUAAGCAUCUCUGCAACCUCUGCCAUCAUCUUCACACAGCGCCCUCCCUGUGCAUCUCUGUCUUCAUACGAUGUUUUCUUCUUUUCAUGAGGACAGCAGUUAUAUUGGGCUACAAUCCACCCUACUCUAAUAUGGCCUCAUCUAAUCAUACCUGCAAUGACUCUAUUUUUAAAUAAAGCCACAUUCAGAGGUACCCAGUUUAGGACAUGAACUUUUCGGGAGACACAGUUCAACUCAUCACAGAAAAUAAUCAGGGGUCUGGACAUUCUGUGUCAAUGAGAUUGAGCCACUAGUUGUUAAUAGUAUUUCACUCAUCUCUGCUGAUAUUUUUAAAGAACAUGUGAAAGGGGUGAGGUAUCUGAUAGAAAGCCCUCCCUCAUGUAAUUGAUGAGAUAAGGGUUCUAAUUUUCCCCACAGAAGUUAUAAAGAGCACCUGAGCUGUCAGCCAAAUCAAAUUGCCAGUGGAAAGCAGGUGAACCUAAGGAAGCCAUGGGGGUGAGACGUGCCUGGGCAUGCCCUGUUCAUGGUGGCACCGACCCACACAGCAUUCAUAGAAUUCAUACCUUCCCGGAGCUGGCGUGACUCCUGGGAGACCACAGUUUCUGAGAAAAUAGAAAGCCAAGUGUAAACUGGACUGGUCACAAAGACUCCGCAGGGAGCUGGCUGCAGACACCCACUCAGUCCAGUCCUGUGGGCACACAGUUGGGUCUUAGGGGAAAAAGAAAGCUUAAGUUAAAACUGCAACAGCUCUUCCAGGAAAGAAUUUUUUCAACCCAGGGACACAAAGAGCGCUGCUUUGGAAACCUUCUAACAGAGCGGAACAUGAAGGCGAGCACACCCCCGCCCAGGUUUGACUCAGGGAGGACCCAGGGACCUCGGGCUGGAGCCCAGCAGGAGCCGGGAACUGCCUUCUGUGGAUCACAGCUGAAAGGGGUAGCCAUUCAGAAUCUCUGACAAAGGGCCACCGACUUAAGGUCCCCAGCUUCUACAGCUUCACCAGACCCUGCUCAGCAAGAAGGUGCUGACAAAACCCAUAUGCGUCCAAUCCCACUUCCAGGGAAGCCCCUGCCAAAUAAGCAUGGGAGCCAUGCUUCCCGCUGCCCAUCAGAACCGGCGAUUUUGAAUCUCUCUUUCCACGGCAGUAGCUCCUGCAAGAGCCCCCAUCCCCAUCGUGCCACUCAGCCGGGCUGGGGCUGCUGGGGAAGCCCUGUGUUCCCAGGGCUUUGCCCUCUGUGUCUUAGCAGCCACAGCUCCUGACUUCCAUUCCCCCUUCAAAGUCCGUGGGAGGGAAGAGGAGGGAAACUAGGAGAGACUUUGGAAUCUAAAGGAAACAAGGAGGAUGUUUUCCUAAUGCCCAGAGGAUAUGUGUAACUCUUUUUCUGCAGACAGAAGCUUCGUCGGUACUGGGGUUAGUUCCUGCAGUAUUUGGUAUCCUAACUCAGCGGUUAUGGUUUAUCUAGCCCGUGUGAACUGGUCCAGGAAGACGAGCACCCUUCCCAACUUAGUCUACACAAGAGAGUGCUUCGCUUUAGGGAUUUUUUAAAAACUUGAAAACAGCUUUGAAACACAAUUCAUCGGUACAUUUUCUUCUCAUGGCAUUUAGAUAUUAAAAACAUGUGCAUGCAGGUUCUCCAACAUUAGAAUAAGACUUAAAAGGAUGGAAACCUACGUCAUUUGUGGAGUAUCUGUUUUGCUCAGAAAUGGACCACGAUAGCAUCGUGGCACCGUAAGGUGGUGAAGUACUACAGAUAGCACAAGGAAGACCAUUUGAACUCCAAAAGGCUGUGAUUGACAAAAACUAACAAGAGACAGCCCCCCAGGAAAUUCAGGGUUUAUUGCUGAAUUCUCAUGUAUGAAAGUUUGUGGGAUUUGUAAUCACAGGGGCUACCUCCCAGGAAACCGUGAUAGCCAUUUUUCCACCGUAGUUUUGCACUUAAUGGACUUUGCCUCCCAUAAUUCAGGAAAAUGUCUUUUGUUGUGCACAGUGGAGGCCGAGUGCUAUUGAGAGUGUGUGUCCUACAAAGGGCCUCACUAUCUGAGGUCUGCAGCCUGUCUCCUAGGCACUCCCCACUUCAAGAAGCAGCUCUGAGAACAGAUUAAUGCCUGGAUGCCAAGGAGCAAUGAAGUUCACCCAUCUUAUCCAGGGGCUGAGCUAAUCUCCUUAAACCUUUGUACAAGAGCGGGGCCAGUCACCCACAUGAUGCUGUCAAUGUGCUUUCAAAGCCCCACUUCAAAGAGGGAGAUCAAAUGGGGGGUAAUUGAAAGGGACAGCGAUGUGAGGGGGUUCCUGAGACGCCCCCCAACGAUGACUAUGAAUGCGGCACACACCACCCAAAUGACAGGAAGGCAAUGCGUUGCGGUGGCUGGACUCCAGGAAGGAGCUCUGCGGGAACGAUGAGGUCUGUGGGUUUUGCUGCUGCUGUUGCUUUUGCUGUUGGUGGGCUUUGAGAAAAACACGACUGGCCGGGCUCCCUGCCUUCUCCUUCUCCUGUCGAAGUCUCUACAGCUAGGACCCUCCUGUCCUGACAGGCUCAGCUCUGCAUCUUGAGGUCCCUCUGACCUCCCAGCUGACCCUCCAUGUAACCCAGGCUCACCCAGGACUCUUUGGGACCUGAAGAUGCUCUAUUCAUCCAUUUGUGCUGAUUAAUAAAGUGAAUUCUGAACAUC
rnacentral:lncRNA from 1 species